rnacentral:lncRNA from 1 species
AUUAGACUUUGCCUGCUUGGCGGGAAAGAUAAACAAAACAAACGGAAAAGGCUUGCUGUAUUUAUAUAUUGCAGAGGUUUAGUCUCUGAUAGAAAGAUGUCUGUAGAUACUAAUGGAGGAAUGGGUGAUGCUGCAUCUCAGAUUAUACAAAAUGGAACUUCAGAGAUGAAUGGGAAGCCUUCAAGAUG